rnacentral:ncRNA from 1 species
UUGUUAACUGUGAAAAAGAGGAUUAGAGAUAAUGGAGUAUAAAGAGAGGAAAAUCUGUUAGUUGAGAGGUUUUCUAUAUGGAUUAUCUUGAAGGUAGCUUUGGAGUUUCUUUGCUGAAAUAACAGUAGGUAAAGACGGUUUUCUUAAUCGUUAUUUUUUAAGAGCCUGUAUUUACAGGAAAAAAGGUGGUAACGCGGGUCUUCGUCCUUUAU